GAGGAGGACGGGAGUGAGAGAGCCUGGCUUGGGGUGGGGCUGCUUUGGGCGCGCGGGAGGGAAAGGAGCCGGGGCUGCUCGGGUUGGGCUCAGUUUGGGAGCGAGGGCUGGGAGGACACAAACCGCAACCCAAGGACGCUGCUGACUUUCAUAGCGGAUUCAACUGUACAUACAAUCGCCUGAAUAUACAUGCAAAGAAUUGGGAAUGCAAGUGGUGAAUAAUCACAAAAGGCUAGAUUCUUCCAUCCUUGCUCACAGUGAGUAGCACCCUUACUCCUCCACAAGUUGUGUGGUCAUACCUCACUCUUCUUGUUUUCGACUUGCCAGGAAUCAAAGCGGAAUAACUGGGCCCAUAGGAUGUGUAGUGUAUUAGAGCCUUUUCCUGAAUUGAACUUUAUUUUGAUUAUGUAGGCCUGAUUCUGUCAUCCUUGUGUUCACUGAAAAGUAGCUUAUUCCUCAAGAAAUCCAAUUUGAAGUUAAUGGGACAACUUGCAGGAUAAAGUACUACUCAGUAUGUGGAAGGGUGGUACUUACAGUUAGGACCCUGAUUCAAUAUAGCACUUCACCACAUGCUGAAGUCCCACUGAAGUAAAGCACGGGUGUAAGUGCUUUGCUGAAGCAAGGCUAAAAUCUAUAGAACCAGAUUCUGAUACCCUCACUUACAUGAGGUAGUACCUUUAUGUCCAGCUCCUCAAAGAUAUUUAGGUGCCUAACUUUCCAUUGACUUCAAAUACCUUUGAGGAUCUGGGUCUUACUCCAGGUUAGUCCUGUUGACUUCAGCAGGGCUAUUUCAGGAAUAAGUAGGGUGACCAGAUAGCAAGUGUGAAAAAUUGGGACAGGGGUUGGGGGGCAAUAGGUAAGAGCCCCCAAAAUCGGGACUGUCCCUAUAAAAUCGGGACAUCUGGUCACCCUAGGAAUAAGGAACUAAUCA
rnacentral:lncRNA from 1 species